UACGUAGGGUGCAAGCGUUAAUCGGAAUUACUGGGCGUAAAGCGUGCGCAGGCGGUGAUGUAAGACAGUUGUGAAAUCCCCGGGCUCAACCUGGGAACUGCAUCUGUGACUGCAUCGCUGGAGUGCGGCAGAGGGGGAUGGAAUUCCGCGUGUAGCAGUGAAAUGCGUAGAUAUGCGGAGGAACACCGGUGGCGAAGGCGGCUCACUGGCUCGUAACUGACGCUCAUGCACGACAGCGUGGGGAUCAAACAGG
rnacentral:rRNA from 1 species